UUUUUUAUAAAAAUAAUUUAUUUAUUUAAGGUUUUAGUAUUUAUUAAAAAUUAAUUUAUAGAUUUAUAGUUUAAUAGUAUUGUGAAAGAAAUUAUUAAAUUUUUAAAAGAAUUUAAUUAGUACCUUUUGUAUCAGGGUUGAUUAAAAUUUUUAAUUUUUUUUUAAUUUCUCAAAAUUUAUAGAGUUAAUUUUAUUAUUAAUUUAUUGUGUUAUAAAUAUUUAAAAAAUAAUAUUAGUUUUGAAAUUUAAUUCGUUAUAUUAUAUUUAGUUAUUUAAGAUUUAAAUUUAAUUUAAAAUUUUAAAAGUUAUGUUAAUUUUAUUGAUUAAUAUUUUAAAUUUAAAUUAUUUUAGGGAUAAGCUUGAAAUUUUUAUAUAAUAAUUUAUUUAUUUUAAUAAUUUAUAGGAAUAGAAAUUUUUAUUUUAAGUUUGUAAAAAUUUAUUAUUUGUUUAAUUUUAAUUUAUUAUAUUUAUAUUUAUUUUUUUUAUUAAAUUUUAUUAAUUAAUAUUUAAUUAAUAGUAAUAAUGAUUAAAUUAGUAUAAUAUGGAUAUUUAUAAAUUAUGAAUUCGGCAAAAAUUAUUUUCAUCUGUUUAACAAAAACAUUGUAUUAAGUUUAAUUUAAUAUAGGAUCUGCUCAAUGAUUUAUUAAAUAGCUGCAGUAUUUUGACUGUGCAAAGGUAGCAUAAUAAUUAGUCUUUUAAUUGAGGACUUGUAUGAAAGAUUUGAUGAGAAAUAAACUUUAUUAUUUAUAAAAUUAAAAUUUUAUUUUUAAGUAAAAAAGCUUAAAUUAUUUAAAGGGACGAUAAGACCCUAUAAAACUUUAUAAAUUUUGAUUUUAAUUUUUUUGGAUUUAUAAAUAUUUUAUUAUUAAAAUUUAUUUUAUUGGGGUGAUAAUAAAAAUUAUUAAACUUUUUUUAAAGUUUAACAUUAUUUAAUGUAUAUUUGAAUUAAAAUUUUUAAUUAAAGGAAAAAGUUACUUUAGGGAUAACAGCGUAAUUAAUUUUUUAAGUUCAAAUUUAAAAAUUAGUUUGCGACCUCGAUGUUGAAUUAAGAUUAAUUUUAGGUGCAAAAUUUUAAAUAUAAGGUCUCUUCGACCCUUAAA
rnacentral:rRNA from 1 species